UAUAGAUUCAUACAAAGAUGGUGGGCUGUAAAGUUUUGAUCCUCCUGGUCGUGAUGAGCCUGACAUUCAGUGAAAUUCUCGCGGGGGCAAUCAGAAGCGAUUCCGAUAACGUGACACCGGGAUACGGGGAGGGCGUGAUGGUAUCCGGCCAAGCAUCGUUUCGUGUGUCACGUGAUAAAACAAUUCUGCUGGUAGGCAUCGCUGCUGCCGCUAUAUGGUUUGUCAAAGGCUGAUGUUUAAUGUGCAGCGAUGACCAGAAUUCUGCGUUUCAGCGGACAGCUUCAGGAAUAAAUUUUACUGAUUGUUUAAUAUAUAGUCAAUAAAUA